GACGAACGCUGGCGGCGUGCUUAACACAUGCAAGUCGAACGAAGUGGCGAACGGGUUAGUAAUCCGUUGGUAACCUGCCCUCCUUUUUGGGAUAAGCCUUGGCAACGGGGUCUAAUACCGAAUCAAGGGGGAGGGGCUGUCGGACUAUCAGCUUGUUGGUGGGGUGAUGGCCUACCAAGGCGGUGACGGGUAGCCGGCCUGAGAGGGGGAGCGGUGACAUGGGGACUGAGAGAAUGCCGAGAAGCCGACGUGAGGCAGCAGUGGGGGAUAUGGCACAAGGGGCGAAAGGCUGAUGCAGCGAAGCCGAGUGGGGGAUGAAGGCUUUCGGGUUGUAAACAUAUUUCACAAUCGAACGGGUAGGUGGAGAAGAAGCGCCGGCUAACUACGUGCCAGCAGCCGCGGUAAUAC
rnacentral:rRNA from 1 species